rnacentral:rRNA from 1 species
AAUAGAUACCCCGGUAGUCCAUGCUGUAAACGAUGAGAACUAGAUGUUAGGGGGCAUGACCUCUUAGUAUCGAAGCUAACGCGAUAAGUUCUCCGCCUGGGGAGUACGGCCGCAAGGUUAAAACUCAAAGAAAUUGACGGGGGCCCGCACAAGCGGUGGAGCAUGUGGUUUAAUUCGAUGCAACGCGAAGAACCUUACCUACCUUUGAAUCCACGGAACCUAGCAGAGAUGUUGGGGUGCCUUCGGGAACCGUGAGACAGGUGCUGCAUGGCUGUCGUCAGCUCGUGUCGUGAGAUGUUGGGUUAAGUCCCGUAACGAGCGCAACCCUUGUCCUUAGUUGCCAUCAGGUUAUGCUGGGCACUUUAAGGAGACUGCCGGUGAUAAACCGGAGGAAGGUGGGGAUGACGUCAAGUCCUCAUGGCCCUUACAGGUAGGGCUACACACGUGCUACAAUGGGCAGUACAGAGGGAAGCCAACCCGCGAGGGGGGUAGCGAAUCUCAUAAAGCUGUUCGUAGUCCGGAUUGGAGUCUGCAACUCGACUCC